rnacentral:lncRNA from 1 species
AUGAAAGCACGGCAGGCCAGACCAGUGCUUCUCAAAUUCCUGCUUUUCAAAACACAGAUUCCUAGGCUCUGCUCCCAGACAUUCUGACUCAGUGUUGGAAUUUCCCAAAAUUCCCAUCUCUGACUAGCUCUCAGGUGAUGCUGAUGCUGCAGGUCUAUGGAACAUGUUUCAAGUAGCACCGGCCUUGGUCAUUAAUUUUGAGGAAAAUCAGGUGUUAAUGGGCCUGCAUUUCAGAAACGAAACUCACGAGAACAGGACCUGUCUUGUAGAGGGAGAUAAGGCAAUGCUAGGAUGACCAACUGUCCAGUUUGACCCCAGACCAUCUUGGUUUAGCAUGGAAAGGCUUGUGUCCCAGGAAACCACUCAGUCCCAGGCAAACUGGAAAGUUGGUCGCCCUACUGGGCUUAGUAGGCUGGCUUAUCAUGGCAGCUUUAUUGUGCUUUGAAGUGAUUUGGUGUUUUACUUAAAUUUUAAACCCAAGAAAAGCCUCUGAGCAUAUUGUGAAAUGGCAUGUAACCACAUGUAACUGAUGACUGCCAGUUAGAACCUUCAGCUUUUCUAAAUCUCUCUUCUCACAAGUUGUGGUGGGUCAGGGUUCCUAAACUUGUCUGCACAUUGGAAUCACCUGGGGAGCUUAAAAAAAAAGAGGAAGAAAGUGAUCUCUGUGUUCUACAUCACCCAAUUGUGAGUUAAUUGGUUUAAGGUGUGACCUGGGUGCUCCUAGUUUUAAAAGGUCCCCAGACGAUUCAAAUCUACAGACAAAUCCCACCAUCAGUAUCCCUGUGGUAGAUAGUAUUCAAAGAUGGCAGCCAUGACUACCUCUCUCUUUCUGGACACAUGCCAUUCAUCAGAGCCUCCAUGUGAGAGGUCUGAUUAUCCUGAGUCCACGCUGCUGUGAGGAGAGCAGUCGCUGAGUGAAGGAGCAGCUGGGCACAGACGUGUUCUUGGACCUUCUAGACCAGCCCAGCUAACAGCUGAAUUUGCCCAAGUGGGAGGCCCCAGCUGAAGCCACUAGGAUUGGAACUGUGCAGUCAUCCCACCAAACACAGCAUUCUCCCUGGACAUUUGCAAAAGUGGUUGGAGCAGCUCUGCUUUCGUCUUCAACUCCAAGGGCUUGCUUCUAAUUUUACUGUUUUGCAGAGCCAAGUCUUUUCCAGUAGAGAGUGGAAUGUUUAUAGCCUAUGGAGAGAGAAGCAGGACACCAAUGAGCUAUCACUUCUGAACAUCUAUCUUUGUUUUUGGUGAGAUUGGCCCUGAACUGACAUUUGUACCAAUCUUCAUUUAUUUUUAUGUGGGACACCACCACAGCAUGGCUUGUUGAGCAGUCGCAGGUCUGCAUCCUGGACACAAACCCACGAAUCCUGGGCUGCCAAAGCAGAGUGUGUAAACUUAACCACUAUGCCACUGGGCUGGCACCUGAAUAUCUAUCCUUUUUAAUGAACUGUUAACUCUUGUCCUAGUCAGGUCUUUUUUUGCAAUGGGGAAGGAGAUUUUGAGUGUAAACAUUAUACUAUGUUUACUCGUUUUGUGAGUCUUGGUGAUUCUAAAUGUCAAGGGCUUUAUAUGACUGAUAUCAGUCACGCAGUUGUUUUGCACGCAGUUUCACCCUGACUAUAGGAGCCAUUAUGUAAGAGAAUCAAGUCUUUUUAACACAUUGAAGGGUUUAUUGUUUGGUGCAUAAUUUGUCUUGUUUUCACCAGUUUCUGAGCAAUCUACUGAUGAGAUUUUUUUCCUCUUCAUUGUCUCCUGUAUAUAAGCAGCAAAGAUUGCCUAAUUAACUUCAAAAGGGCAGGAAAAAAGAAUUUUGUCUGUAAUUAAAGUCUAUGAAGUUAAUCUAGCCAUUGUUUUUCCUAUGGACAGGUAACCUCCUCUCCUAUUUCCCAUAACCAAGGUGAUUGAUUGAUUGUGAUAUCCGGGCAUCAAUUUUCCUUCCCUUCUUGGGGCACCAAGAGGCAAACCACAAGGGAAGCCAGUCAUAAGAAAUCUGCUAAAUAAGGAUUGAUCAGAACAAGAAGAGAUUAUAUAGUGGUCCACAACAGGAUCUGCCCCGGAAGCAGAGGCCUGGGAUUCCUAGGGACAGAGCAACAUUGUUCCUGGAUGGUAUAUGGAGAGUCUCGGUGAAAUGUCGAUGUUUUGGACUUCUCUUUUUGCCAGUAUUUGUCGAAGUGUGGCCCCAACCAACUGCAUUAGAAUCACCAUGGAGCUUGAUAAAAUGCAGAUUUCUGGUCUCACCCAAACCUGUUGAAUUGGAAUUGAUGAAAUGAGUCUACAUUUUCAACAGACUCUCCUGGUUUAGUCUGUAUAGUAUGAGACUUACUCCUCUAAGCUAAUCAAACCCUCUGUUCACACUGUCUUUAUUCUAACAGGAUAUAAAUGAUUAGAUUCUGCUUAAUUAUUAAACAUUUUAGUUUUGACUACCUAUCAACUCUCAAUUUAAGGUAUUUUUAGAUUCAUUUAAAUUAUAAAAUUCUGAUUUGAAAGUCAUAAUGUAGCAAGUUGAGAAAGAAUGAAAAUAUAUAAAGGGUUUAGUAAAAUCAUCUGUAAUUUCAUUACCAUUUAUUGUCUUUCUCUUUUUUGUGUGAGGGUCUACACCCCACUCCUCCCACACAGGGGUCUACGCAUGUUGUAAAUAGCACUUGAUUCCUGCUUUAUUUACUCUAAUUUAAUUUGAGAGCCUCUCAUAUUGUUAGUCUUUCACUUACAUGAUAUUAAUAGCUAUUCUCAAGAUUCCCAUUCAUGUAUUUACAGAUAGAAUUUUAUUCCCACAGAUCGUUAAUCAUAUAUAUUGUGUCUAGUUUUUACGAGUGUGGAAGAAUGAGGUAUUGUGUUUUACUUUAAAAUUAGACAAUCAUUUAUUUUACAAACAAAAGCUUUUUCUAAGAGGGAGAUUUUUAGAUCCAUUCUUAAUAAGAGAAUAUUAUAACAAAGUCACAGAGGUCAUGUUUGAUGUAAAAUUGUCACAAGAUUGCUAAUACAUUUAACCUCCUGUUAUUGAAUUUGUUUACAAAUUUAAGUGAAAAAACUAAUUUUUACAUGAAAUUAACAAAUAUAUUUUCCAUAACAAAUGUACUUAGCCUCAAGGUCAAUUGUCCUUGCUUGAUAACUGUCAAAUAAAUUUCUGAAUGUUACGUGAAAGAUUUUGCCCCCUUAAGAAGAUGGACUUGGGCAGAAACUCAACUUUGAGCUUAUAAAAUAUAGAGGAAACAUGGACUUAACAGAAAAUUUAUAGUCACAUAAAAUUUUAUA